AUUGAACGCUGGCGGCAUGCUUUACACAUGCAAGUCGAACGGCAGCGCGGGCUUCGGCCUGGCGGCGAGUGGCGAACGGGUGAGUAAUGCAUCGGAACGUGCCCAGUAGUUGGGGAUAGCCCGGCGAAAGCCGGAUUAAUACCGCAUCCGACCUGAGGGUGAAAGCGGGGGGCCGAAAGGCCUCGCGCUAUUGGAGCGGCCGAUGUCGGAUUAGCUAGUUGGUGGGGUAAAGGCUUACCAAGGCGACGAUCCGUAGCUGGUCUGAGAGGACGACCAGCCACACUGGGACUGAGACACGGCCCAGACUCCUACGGGAGGCAGCAGUGGGGAAUUUUGGACAAUGGGGGCAACCCUGAUCCAGCCAUGCCGCGUGCGGGAAGAAGGCCUUCGGGUUGUAAACCGCUUUUGUUCGGGAAGAAAUCCUCUGGGCUAAUACCCCGGGGGGAUGACGGUACCGGAAGAAUAAGCACCGGCUAACUACGUG
rnacentral:rRNA from 1 species